GUGGGUAUAGUUCAGUUGUAGAGCUCAUGCUUAGCAUGCAUGAGGUCUUAGCAUGCAUGAGGUCCUGGGUUCAAUCCUCAGUACCUCCA
rnacentral:tRNA from 1 species